GAAAAUCCUGAGCAGCCUCUCGGUGCCUGUAAGAUGGUGGGCAAGGCGGCGGCGGCGGCGGCGGCGGGUGGUACCUCUGGCCGGGCCGGCCUCGCAGUCCGGUGUCGGAGGAGAAAGCUGGCUGGAGCUCAGAGAAAAUGGGGGCUUAGGUGCGGAAACACCUCCCAACAACACACGGCUCCAACGGGAUGGACACGAGCCUCAGUCCCAGCAAUGGGUUUCCAGAGCCGCGUCUGAGCCAUCACACUAAAGAAGAGGACAGUCUUUGGGCAGGGGCGAUGGGGAUUACUGCAUUGAAACCUCUUGAGAGUCUUAUGAGAGAAGACUCAGGAACACUUGCAUUUUACAGAUGAAGAAACCAAGGUUUACCCAAGUAGCCCCACAGCAUGGCGGGGGCGAGACCCGUCCAGGGAGUGAGAGCCCAGAGCACGCUCGCCACUCAGCGCCAGUGGGUCUCAAGACCCCUUUACGCUCUCAGGACCCAAAGAGCUUCUGUUCUGUGGCCUCUAUCUACUGAUGUUAACCUUGUUAAGAAUUUAAACCGAGGGGCUUCCCUGGUGGCGCAGUGGUUGAGAAUCCACCUGCCAAUGCAGGGAACAUGGGUUCGAGCCCUGGUCUGGGAAGAUCCCACAUGCCACGGAGCAACUAAGCCCGUGCGCCACAACUACUGAAGCCCGCGCGCCUAGACUGCAAUGAAGAGUAGUACCUGCCCGCCACAAGUGGAGAAAGCCCACGCGCAGCAACGAAGACCCAACGCAGCCAAAAAUAACUUAGUUAAUAAUAAUGAAAAAAGUUGGCUUAAGGAUUUUUUUAAAAAAAGUUUAAACCGAGACUUAUAAAAAAUGUUUACUAAUACAUUUAAUGAAAAUAAUAUUUUCUAAAACAAACAAGUCAGAGAUGAGUGGCGGGCUCUGUGCUCCAUCCCUGUGCGAUCGCACGCCCACAGCCUCGUGACUCUGCUGUGCACUCACGGUAGAGUGAACAGUGCAGUGUCUUGGGGUAAUUACCAACGUGGACCCUAAAAGGGUCUCCGGGACGCCCAGGCAUGUCGCUGGCCUGGGCCACACUGAGAACUGCUACACUGCCUGCCAGACGGCACAAGGAACCCCCCUCCGAUGUCGCCAACCAUCAUCAUGUCCUCCUCUUUGAAAGCAAAACUUAA